ACCAAGGCUCUUUUCAGAGCCACCCACACAUUCACAACGAGAGCUG
rfam:Callipepla squamata strain Texas jcf7180005234157, whole genome shotgun sequence.